AGGGCUGCACACACAGCAUAUGGAGGUUCCCAGGUUAGGGGUCUAAUCGGAGCUGUAGCUGCCAGCCUACACCACAGCCACAGCAACUGGGGAUCUGAGCCUCGUCUGAGACCUAUACCACAGAUCACAGCGACACUGGAUCCUUAACCCACUGAGCAAGGCCGGGGAUCGAACCUGCAUCCUCAUGGAUUCUAGUCAGAUUUGCUUCCACUGAGCCACGACAGGAACUCUUCAGAUAUAAAAGCCCAACAUGUUUCUCUGCUGUGUUCUCUCUAAGGUGAAUGUCUUCAUACAGAGCCUACAGCUAGAUGCUGAAUAGUAUAGAAAGUUUAGUGUACCUUCCUCAUGUGAAGGUUCACAGUUUUCAACUGAUCUUCAAAUGGAUCUAUGUCCUCAAAAAGUUUAACACUCUCUUCUUGAAAUUCUUAUUUCAAGACAGGAGCAAAUAAUUGAGAAGUAAGCCAUGAAUAUUUAUUUUCUUAACAUUAAUCUUUUAGUUCUUGAAAUUUGAAGAGGACCACUACAAAUGAUGAAGUCAUAUUCCAAGCAGCAAUUUUCAUUUUUUACAAUUCCUCUGAAAAGUCUAUGGUCAUGCAAGUUUUUCCCCCUGCUGACCUAAGGGUGCUUCAAUAAAAGGAGAAAUGAAAAUGAGAACACUUGGUGCUGAAACUUUAAGCCUAACUCAAAUUCAGCUCAUCCCUGUAGAUUUUCAAAAACAUGGUGGCCAAGAGCAUAGCUUUUUGAACUCAUCCAUUAUCUGGGUUGCAAUUUUAGCUCUACCUCAGGUUGUAUACAUAAUUUUGAGAAAGUAAGGUGGUUCUCUAAACCUUAGUUUCCAAAUCCAAAAUAAAGAUAAGAUAAGAACAGCCCCGAUCCCUAUGCUUUUUGUUUUAUUAUGUAAGCUAACACAGGCAAUGGGCCCAACCAAGGGCCUGGCGAUGUAGUAAGCACUCAAUAAAUGCAGUCAGUUAUUAUCAAAAUUGCUAUAUCUUAUCAAUGAUCAUUAUAUUAUCAACAGAUUUAUUGGAAUUUUCCAGGGCCCAAGAAGGCUGUUCACCAAGUUUUCUAAUCCUUGUAAAUAAAUAGCUAGGCAUUUUAGGAGUGAGCACUGGCUUAAAAGCAAAGAGAAGGAAGGGGAGGAAUAACUUAAAUCCUUUCAGUUACAAUUUUAGGGUGAAUCCAUGGUUCUCAAAGUGUGGUCUCCAGACGAGCAGCUUCACCUUCACUGGGUACUUAGAAAAGCCAGUUUUCAGGUCCCUCCCUUGGCCCACUGAACCCAAACUCUGGAGGAAGGACAGGUAAUCUGUGUUAUUUUAUAAGUGUUCCAGCUGCUUCUGAUGCAUGCUGAAGGUGGAGAUUCGCUGGUACAGAUGAAAAGGAGUACUGGGCAAGGACCAGUUCUGAAAGCAAAUAUACCCACUCAGUCUCUAAACGUACGCUUCAGUGUGUGAACACCCAAGGCUGUAACUGAGUCUCUUGUGACACAUGUAAUCACAAGGAUCUUCCCAGGAAGAGAUGAGAUGGAGGAGGCAGAGAAAAUGCACAUUUGCAUAAAUAUGCAGCUCUCAACUUCCUAAAGUUAGGGUGUUAUCCUCCUAGAACAUCCCCACCUCACCAAAGGGGAUUAAUUUAAUCACUAAAUUAUGUAGUGCUGUGAACAUUUGCAUCAAAAUAACAUAUCAUCAUUUUCUACAGAAAUAAAUUUCAAGUGUCUGAUUCUAGCUUAAGGCCUGUAUUUCACUAGGGCAAACUGAAUGUCUAUUCAGGUUUAAAGUAGAGAGGUGUUAACUAAUAAGAAGCAAAAUGAGAGACAGUAUAAAGCACAGAGGUGAGCAGUUGAUAGUAAAGCCCUGCUGCCUGUUUUCCUAACCCAGCUCCCUCAUUUAUGAGUCUGUGACU
ensembl:lncRNA